rnacentral:piRNA from 1 species
GCAUGGAUCAUAUUACUGUUGGUCUCCUG